rnacentral:rRNA from 1 species
AAGUCGAACGCUUCUUUCCUCCCGAGUGCUUGCACUCAAUUGGAAAGAGGAGUGGCGGACGGGUGAGUAACACGUGGGUAACCUACCCAUCAGAGGGGGAUAACACUUGGAAACAGGUGCUAAUACCGCAUAACAGUUUAUGCCGCAUGGCAUAAGAGUGAAAGGCGCUUUCGGGUGUCGCUGAUGGAUGGACCCGCGGUGCAUUAGCUAGUUGGUGAGGUAACGGCUCACCAAGGCCACGAUGCAUAGCCGACCUGAGAGGGUGAUCGGCCACACUGGGACUGAGACACGGCCCAGACUCCUACGGGAGGCAGCAGUAGGGAAUCUUCGGCAAUGGACGAAAGUCUGACCGAGCAACGCCGCGUGAGUGAAGAAGGUUUUCGGAUCGUAAAACUCUGUUGUUAGAGAAGAACAAGGACGUUAGUAACUGAACGUCCCCCUGACGGUAUCUAACCAGAAAGCCACGGCUAACUACGUGCCAGCAGCCGCGGUAAUACGUAGGUGGCAAGCGUUGUCCGGAUUUAUUGGGCGUAAAGCGAGCGCAGGCGGUUUCUUAAGUCUGAUGUGAAAGCCCCCGGCUCAACCGGGGAGGGUCAUUGGAAACUGGGAGACUUGAGUGCAGAAGAGGAGAGUGGAAUUCCAUGUGUAGCGGUGAAAUGCGUAGAUAUAUGGAGGACACCAGUGGCGAAGGCGGCUCUCUGGUCUGUAACUGACGCUGAGGCUCGAAAGCGUGGGAGCAACAGGAUUAGAUA